UACGGAGGGUGCAAGCGUUAAUCGGAAUUACUGGGCGUAAAGCGUGCGCAGGCGGUUUGUUAAGUCUGUUGUGAAAUCCCCGAGCUCAACCUGGGAAUUGCAAUGGAUACUGGCAGGCUGGAGUAUGGUAGAGGAAGGUGGAAUUCCCGGUGUAGCAGUGAAAUGCGUAGAGAUCGGGAGGAACACCAGUGGCGAAGGCGGCCUUCUGGACCAAUACUGACGCUCAUGCACGAAAGCGUGGGGAGCAAACAGG
rnacentral:rRNA from 1 species